CUGAUACUUAAAAAUCACUAUUAAACUUGCCCUGGAGAAGGGUUACUGAUGCUGGUCUAUUGUACUCUACAUUUCAUAUUGUGGGAAUCGAAUGUUGAUUCUGUAUUAGAACAAGAUUAGAAUUUUCUUGAUUUCGUGGCCUCUGCUGCCAUUUGGGUCCUUUAUCAAAAUCUAGCUAGUAACAAUUUAUGUAUAGUCAGCAUGAAAAUAUAUGUUGUACUUUGUCACACACAUUGCAGGAAUAUCCUGCACAAAUUAAAAGGACAAGUCAUGACAUGCCUUAGAGAGGGCCUGAAGAAGGUACUGAGGAAGGCCUGGCACCUCUCCAACCCCCUACGGUGCUCUUUGUUUAACAAAGGAAGCGUCCUUCGGACACAAUGGAAGAAGCUUUGGAGAAAAUCACCAUAUCAACAUGAUAAGAAGAGUACCGAGACAUCUUGGAAACAGCAGGAUGGCGACUGACUGGCACAAGAUAGAACAAGUGUCAGAAUGUAGUUAACAAAUGUAAAUCUUCGAUAAGAUUGUGAACCUGGAGUACUCAGCCAAUGGGGAAACAGGGCAGUGGGUAGGCAAGGGGGGAAACAAGUUACAAAAGCUGUCAUACUGUAUCCAUAGGUGCGCUCCUGUUUUACAGGACGCCCGCCAUUGCAAUUGCGAAUUAAAUCUGCUUUUAUCAGAGAUACCGUCCUGAUAAAUUAUUUGGAUAUUUCCAACAAUAUGAAGUUUUUGUUCGCUGCAAUUAAGCUCCAUCCGUACUUGUCAAAAAACAUGGCACCUGUGCCACGUGAACGUAUUCAAUCUGUGCGACAUCUCCCCAGCCCGAGCUUUCUCCCCUCCGUUUUCCCUUUCCGUGUUUGCAGGCUGGCUGAAGGCUCAGCUGAAGCACAGCAGCACCAUCUCGUGGGUACGGGCAAUGAUGACAGCAGCAAAGCCAUCGAGGAACAGCUCGGUAGCGCCGCUAUCAGGAACGGCAGAGAUCCUGCGAGCUAUUACCAGCUGGCUGUGUUUACACUUCUAAGUGGAGCUCUGCAGCGAGCAUCAAGGAGCACAUCCUGCCUGGCUCCUGCUUCUGUCAGCAAGGCAAACAGAGCCAGCGUCUAGUUGCUGAUGGCAUCAUUUUAAUAUUUGUCACUUAAUAAAUUCUGUAAUUUAUUUCUGUAAGAUUUGUAG
rnacentral:lncRNA from 1 species